rnacentral:rRNA from 1 species
CCUACGGGUGGCUGCAGUGGGGAAUAUUGCGCAAUGGGGGAAACCCUGACGCAGCAACGCCGCGUGAAGGAAGAAGGUUUUCGGAUCGUAAACUUCUUUGAUUGGGGACGAUAAUGACGGUACCCGAGGAACAAGCCACGGCUAACUACGUGCCAGCAGCCGCGGUAAUACGUAGGUGGCGAGCGUUGUCCGGAAUUACUGGGUGUAAAGGGCGUGUAGGCGGGAAGACAAGUCAGAUGUGAAACCCCAUGGCUUAACUGUGGGACUGCAUCUGAAACUGUAAUUCUUGAGUACUGGAGAGGGAAGUGGAAUUCCUAGUGUAGCGGUGAAAUGCGUAGAUAUUAGGAGGAACACCAGUGGCGAAGGCGGCUUCCUGGACAGAAACUGACGCUGAGGCGCGAAAGCGUGGGGAGCAAACAGGAUUAGAUACCCUUGUAGU